rnacentral:lncRNA from 12 species
AUGACAAUGCCUCAAGGCCUCUUCUCUUUCAAGGUUCAAAGAGAAAUGAUUGAUUCAGUCAGUGUGGAAGAACUUGACAGGUCUGCAGAAAGCCAGCUUAAUGCAGGCCUUGAGCCAAAAACUCAUCAUCAAACACCAAUGACUUGUACAUACUGUAUGUUUUGUAUGUGUUUUACAUGUUUCCCAUCACUUACAGGGGCACCCAGGAACCCCAGGAGAGAGCGGCCCACCAGGACCAGCAGGCAGUCCAGGCCCACUGGGAUCACGUGGACCCAUCGGCUUGAGAGGACCUAAAGGCAGACGGGGGCCUAGAGGUCCGGACGGUAUGCCAGGAGAACUCGGCGCUGAAGGCAAAAAGGUGAAGGCCGCUGUCCUCCAGAGCUCACCUAGUGACCAAAGAUAAAUGCUGUGCACUUUUGAAUAUACCUUUAAUUUAUGUCUCGUCACAGGGUUCUGAUGGUCCUCCUGGAAAAAUCGGUUUCCCAGGACAAGUGGUAAGAUCCGCGUUUUCACAUUUUCUUUCUGAUUGUGUUUCUACAGUAACUGCUGCCAUGUCUCCAAUCUUUUAUAUGGUAACAUUUUAUAUGGUCUCUAUGUCUGUCCAAUCUCUUUGCAGGGCAAGAUCGGGGAGCCCGGGGAGGUGGGGCCAAAGGGAUUUCCGGUUAGUUUCUCUAUUAAAAUUUAUAUACUGUAUAUCUUUGUCUGUUAUACUGCAUAUUUUUAGUGCUGUUCCUUAAAAAUGU